UGGGGAAUUUUGCACAAUGGGGGAAACCCUGAUGCAGCGACGCCGCGUGAUUUAGAAGGCCUUCGGGUUGUAAAAAUCUUUUCUAUGGGAAGAAAAUGACAGUACCAUAGGAAUAAGGACCGGCUAAUUACGUGCCAGCAGCCGCGGUAAUACGUAAGGUCCGAGCGUUGUCCGGAAUCAUUGGGCGUAAAGGGUACGUAGGCGGGUAAGCAAGUUAGAAGUGAAAUCCUAUAGCUCAACUAUAGUAAGCUUUUAAAACUGCUCAUCUUGAGGUAUGGAAGGGAAAGUAGAAUUCCUAGUGUAGCGGUGAGAUGCGCAGAUAUUAGGAGGAAUACCGGUGGCGAAGGCGACUUUCUGGCCAUAACCUGACGCUGAGGUACGAAAGCGUGGGUAGCAAACAGG
rnacentral:rRNA from 1 species